GAUUUCGUGGUGUAGUUGGUAAUCACAUCAGUCUCACACUGAAGAUCUCCAGUUCGAACCUGGACGAAAUCA
rnacentral:tRNA from 1 species